CGAUAACCCGGUUUUACAACUCACUACCCUUAAUCACAACUAACCCGACCCAUAUCUAUCCAUAUUCUCCUAUAUCCAUUCUGUUGAUGAAACGCCAUUCUACUCUAAACCCUAACUGCGAUCCAUACCUAAACCCCAGCCGUGAUGCUAUGAAGAUCAAAAUCGAAUCCAACCGAAAGAUCCUUCUUAUGGUUCAAGGUUUGGUUAUCUUUGUCAAUUUAUAUUUUCUUCAAAUUGAUUCUAAACUACCCAGAAUUUCUUCAAGCUUUUUAACUAUCGACUCUUACAACAAUCCGUACAUACUUUCGACGAUUCUAGAUCAAAACAUGAUUGCCAUAGCAACACAUAUGAUGUACGAUCAAUUCUAUUUUGGGUUGUUAAUACUCGUCGCUGUCUCACCGGAAUCCACCGUGGUCUCGAUCUCGAUCUCUGAAAAUUUGGAGUUUCUUGGGAAGAAUUAAAAAUCUUUUUCUGAGAAGUGACCCGUUUUGGAAAUUGCUGCAAAGAUCCUCAAUGUCACAACCCGGAUCUUUAUUUUGAAAAAUGAAGCUACCUUCUCGACACAAUUGAUGUGGCAAGUGAGCAACAACAAAGAUCAUCUUCGGGGUGUGACUUUUGAGUGUUAUAAGUGUUUACUUGUAUGUUCCAUGGGACUUCAGAUGUGAACUCUGUGUAAAUCCAUCAUUCAAGUUGCAAUCUCGAAGCAUGUUGAUGGAGUUUUAUGGACAUUUGAAGGUGUCAAGAUCGCUUACUACAAGUCAACAAACCCAUUUGCUUCAUCAUCGGUAUGUAUAUUUGUUGUUUUGCAGGUGUGAUACAUGGGUCUAUAGGUAUGGAAAGGAAAGUUUCAAAUGAUACGACAAAAGUUGUAUAUAAGAAAAUAUUUAGAGACUUGUGAUUUCUUUAUACUUUUGUGUGUUGUAAUUUUUUUCAUAAAUGUAAUAACCAUUUUUUUCUUGAUUUUUA